rnacentral:rRNA from 1 species
AUUGAACGCUGGCGGCAUGCCUAACACAUGCAAGUCGAGCGGAUGAAGGGAGCUUGCUCCUGGAUUCAGCUGCGGACGGGUGAGUAAUGCCUAGGAAUCUGCCUGGUAGUUGGGGAUAACGUCCGGAAACGGGCGCUAAUACCGCAUACGUCCUGAUGGAGAAAGUGAGGGAUCUUCGGACCUCACGCUAUCAGAUGAGCCUAGGUCGGAUUAGCUAGUUGGUGAGGUAAAGGCGUACUAAGGCGACGAUCCGUAACUGCUCUGAGAGGAUGAUCAGUCACACUGGAACUGAGACACGGUCCAGACUCCUACGGGAGGCAGCAGUGGGGAAUCUUGCGCAAUGGGCGAAAGCCUGACGCAGCAACGCCGCGUGAGUGAUGAAGGUCUUCGGAUCGUAAAACUCUUUUAGUUGGGAGGAAGAGAAGUAUAUUUAUCCCUUGCUGUUUUGACGUUACCAAAAGAGUAAGCACCGGCUAACUUCGUG